rnacentral:rRNA from 1 species
UACGUAGGGACCAAGCGUUGUUCGGAUUUACUGGGCGUAAAGGGCGCGUAGGCGGCGUGGUAAGUCAGCUGUGAAAUCUCCGAGCUUAACUCGGAACGGUCAGCUGAUACUGCUGUGCUAGAGUACAGAAGGGGCAAUCGGAAUUCUUGGUGUAGCGGUGAAAUGCGUAGAUAUCAAGAGGAACACCUGAGGUGAAGACGGGUUGCUGGGCUGAUACUGACGCUGAGGCGCGAAAGCUAGGGUAGCAAACGGG